GAUACCUUCCGCCGGUUAGGGCGAUGGUAUUGGAUUGGUUAAAAGGGAAGUUGGGUGAGAAUCCCACGCGGUCCCGCCGCUGUAAGAGACGAGUCUAUGCGCAUAUCCACUGGGCAACCGGGAAGGGUGCAUAGGCAUUGACGCUCGAGCCAGAAUACCUGCCUGAUUCUUUUUUACACC
rfam:Paenibacillus sp. JDR-2, complete genome.